rnacentral:rRNA from 1 species
AGUGAGCGGGAUGAGCUCAAAUUUAAAAUCUGGCUGGUUUACUAGUCCGAAUUGUAGUUUAAAGAAGCGUUUUCGGUGGCAGCCUGGGUAUAAAUCCUUUGGAACAGGGUAUCAUAGAGGGUGAGAAUCCCGUCUUUGACUCAGUGCAUGCUACUAUGUGAUACGUUUUCAAAGAGUCGAGUUGUUUGGGAAUGCAGCUCAAAAUGGGUGGUAAAUUUCAUCUAAGGCUAAAUAUUGGCGAGAGACCGAUAGCGAACAAGUACCGUGAGGGAAAGAUGAAAAGAACUUUGAAAAGAGAGUUAAACAGUGCGUGAAAUUGUUGAAAGGGAAACGCUUGACACCAGUCAUGCGAGCGGAAAAUCAGUCUUUUGCAGUGGGGAGUUGUGUGGGUUCGGACCGCAAGGCCGGCCUGUGCUGCAUCUCUGCUGUAAGUGAUGCACUUUUUCGUUUGCAGGCCAACAUCAGUUUCUUCUGCUGGACAAAACUCUUGAGAAGGUAGCAGCUUUGGCUGUGUUAUAGCUCUUGAGCGAUACAGUGGAGGGGACUGAGGUUUUCGCAGCGCGUGCUCUCGGGCAAGGCUGAUUGGGUGCUAUGGGAUCGUUCGGUGUACAAUGCAUGCAUUUUGCGCCGUGUCUUUUCUAUACUCGCUCAACUCGGCUCUUCCGCGCUUAGGA